rnacentral:rRNA from 1 species
CAUAGGCGGCGCGAUUCGCCCUUUUCCGGUUGAUCCUGCCGGACCCCACUGCUAUCGGGAUAGGACUAAGACAUGCUAGUCGAGUGCUUCAGCACGAGGCACGGCGAACAGCUCAGUAGCACGUGGCUAAUCUGCCCUUAGGACGAGAAUACCCCCGGGAAACUGGGGCUAAUUCGCGAUAGGUGAAGAACACUGGAAUGUGUCUUCGCCUAAAAGACCCUGCGUAUUGCUCGUAGAAGUCGCCUAAGGAUGAGGCCGCGGCCGAUCAGGUUGUUGGUGAGGUAAUGGCUCACCAAGCCUUUUACCGGUGCGGGCCGUGGGAGCGGGAGCCCGGAGAUGGGUACUGAGACAAGGACCCAGGCCCUACGGGGCGCAGCAGUCGCGAAACCUUUGCAAUACACGAAAGUGUGACAGGGCUAUCCCGAGUGCCAUCCGCUGAGGAAGGCUUUUACCCAGUUUAGAAAGCUGGGGGAAUAAGGAGAGGGCAAGUCUGGUGUCAGCCGCCGCGGUAAUACCAGCUCUUCGAGUGGUGUGGAUGUUUAUUGGGCCUAAAGCAUCCGUAGCUGGCUAAGUUAGUCCCUUGUUAAAUCCACCGAAUUAAUCGUUGGAUCGCGGGGGAUACUGCUUGGCUAGGGGACGAGAGAGGCAGA